CCCUUAGAUGUUCUGGGCCGCACGCGCGCUACACUGAUGCAUUCAACAAGCCUAGCCUUGACCGAGAGGUCCGGGUAAUCUUUGAAACUGCAUCGUGAUGGGGCUAGAUUAUUGUAAUUAUUAAUCUUCAACGAGGAAUGCCUAGUAAGCGUGAUUCAUCAAAUCGCGUUGAUUACGUCCCUGCCCUUUGUACACACCGCCCGUCGCUCCUACCGAUUGAAUGUGUUGGUGAGGAGCUCGGAUUGGCAGCAGUUGGUGGUUCGCCACCGGCUAUUGCUGAGAAGUCCUCCAAACCGCCCCAUUUAGAGGAAGGAGAAGUCGUAACA
rnacentral:rRNA from 1 species